UUUAACUUAACUUUAGUCAUUUGCUCAACAAUCCUCACGCAGUGAUUCCGCAAAUUCAUCCGAUUUUUCCCUGAUAUGAACAUUCGAAUGCCCUAAAUUCACCUACACCUGAAACCAAAUCUAAGAGGAAACAACUUGACUCAGUGAUUGGAGCUGCCUGCAGAUUCAGAAUUCAUAAGGUAUCCAUGAGAAACAUGAAAUGCUUUGAGUGGUUAUUCCUAUGCUCUCUGAUCACACUACUCAAUGUCAAUGGUCUAUCAUACAGUUAUGGAAAUUUUGAAACCUGACAUCGCUCCAUGAACAGCACUUUGAGCAAGAAGUGUGCAGUACACAUUAUCAGAUGCAUUGCUCGGAAUAGCACGGAUCAUGUAAGUUGGAUCUACAAAACAGUAGGUUUCGCAAUUUGUCAGAGAAGAAAGAAGACCUUAAUCCUCCGAGAAAGCCACAAGCCGAUGUCUUGAAGUAGCUUGUUCCCUGAAGCAUCCUGUUCAUUUUUAGCACUGAGAAGAUCCUCUCCUGCUCCUUCAGCAACAA